GUCGAACGCUCCGCAAGGGGAGUGGCGCACGGGUGAGUAACACGUGGGAACCUACCUUCUGGUACGGAACAACCAAGGGAAACUUUGGCUAAUACCGUAUACGACCUCCGGGUGAAAGAUUUAUCGCCGGAAGAGGGGCCCGCGUCCGAUUAGGUAGUUGGUGAGGUAACGGCUCACCAAGCCGACGAUCGGUAGCUGGUCUGAGAGGAUGACCAGCCACACUGGGACUGAGACACGGCCCAGACUCCUACGGGAGGCAGCAGUGGGGAAUAUUGGACAAUGGGCGCAAGCCUGAUCCAGCCAUGCCGCGUGAGUGAUGAAGGCCUUCGGGUUGUAAAGCUCUUUCACCCACGACGAUGAUGACGGUAGUGGGAGAAGAAGCCCCGGCUAACUUCGUGCCAGCAGCCGCGGUAAUACGAAGGGGGCAAGCGUUGUUCGGAAUGACUGGGCGUAAAGGGCGCGUAGGCGGUUCGUUGCGUCAGAUGUGAAAGCCCCGGGCUCAACCUGGGAACUGCAUUUGAUACGGGCGAGCUUGAAUCCAAGAGAGGGUGGUGGAAUUCCCAGUGUAGCG
rnacentral:rRNA from 1 species